rnacentral:rRNA from 1 species
CAUCCCUAGUUCGGAUUGUAGGCUGCAACUCGCCUACAUGAAGCUGGAAUUGCUAGUAAUCACAGGUCAGCAUACUGUGGUGAAUACGUUCCCGGGCCUUGUACACACCGCCCGUCACACCAUGAGAGUUGAGAAUACCCGAAGUCCAUGUCAAAGUGGCCGAAGGUAGGCUUGAUGAUUGGGGUGAAGUCGUAACAAGGUAUC